AUAGACCAUGUUUACCAAAUGCCCUUAUUAGCACACACCAUAUCACUGCUAGGGAUAUUAGUCUAUCGAUCCCACCUAGUAUCAUCCCUGUUAUGCCUAGAAGGCAUAAUACUAUCAAUAGUUAUCAUAAAUACUCUUACAGCUUUAAGCAUACAUUUCACUCUAGCACCCAUAAUCCCCAUCAUCCUCCUAGUAUUUGCUCCCUGCGAAGCUGCAGUGGGCUUUGCCUUACUAGUUUCAAUCUCCAACACAUAUGGCCUGGAUUACGUACAAAAUCUAAAUUUACUUCAAUGCU
rnacentral:lncRNA from 1 species